rnacentral:rRNA from 1 species
UACGAAGGGUGCAAGCGUUAAUCGGAAUUACUGGGCGUAAAGCGUGCGUAGGCGGUUCUGUAAGUCCUGGGUGAAAUCGCCCGGCUCAACUGGGCGGGGGCCUGGGGGACUGCGGGACUGGAGGGGCCUAGAGGCCGGUGGAACUCCCGGUGUAGUGGUGAAAUGCGUAGAGAUCGGGAAGAACACCAGUGGCGAAGGCGGCCGGCUGGGGGCGCCCUGACGCUGAGGCGCGAGAGCGUGGGGAGCAAACAGG